AUUGAACGCUGGCGGAAUGCUUUACACAUGCAAGUCGAACGGUAGAGGGGGCAACCCCUUGAGAGUGGCGAACGGGUGAGUAAUAUAUCGGAACGUGCCCAGUCGUGGGGAUAACGUAGCGAAAGUUACGCUAAUACCGCAUACGAUCUACGGAUGAAAGCGGGGGACUCGCAAGAGCCUCGCGCGAUUGGAGCGGCCGAUAUCAGAUUAGGUAGUUGGUGGGGUAAAGGCUCACCAAGCCAACGAUCUGUAGCUGGUCUGAGAGGACGACCAGCCACACUGGAACUGAGACACGGUCCAGACUCCUACGGGAGGCAGCAGUGGGGAAUUUUUGGGACAAUGGGCGAAAGCCGUGAUCCAGCAAUGCCGCGUGAGUGAAGAAGGCC
rnacentral:rRNA from 1 species